rnacentral:lncRNA from 1 species
GAAGAGUUUGUAGUUUGUUCCGUGACCAUUGAAGAGUAUUCGUAGAAAGUUUCACUCCCUAAUUUUGGGUUUUUGAAGUGAAAAUGUAAAUACGUAGUACAAAUGAAUUGCGUAGCUGAUGGCCGGCCUUGUGUGGUGAUGUUCUGUUCCUGUUCCCCUAUUGAUGUCCCGAUGAAAUGUUUGUUUUAUGUUCCUGUUCCCCUAUUGAUGUCCCGAUAAGAUGUUUGUUUUAUGUUCCUGUGUUCAAGUUUCCAUUUUCCCAGAUCCCCUUGUAUUAUGGAAUGCCUGCCCCACCCACCUGUAGAUUGACAUAUGAAAGUGUUUGCUUUGUUGAUGUGUGACAAGUCGUUUUAAUAAAGGUACAGUACUAUUUCGAUUGUAAAUUAAAAGUGAUUAAAUUCCAAGUGGAUAUAACAAGUUGGUAAAAUUUAAAACUUUUUUAUAAAAAUAUGUUGCUUUCAUAAUGGUUUAAUUUUUGUAACGUUUGUUUAAUAUUUAAAGUCCUGUUUUGCUAUGAAAGAUGUCUAAGAAAAUUUAGUUUGAAAAUAAAUUUGCCUAUUAUGUAAAGUAAAUACAAUGGCAGUGACAUUUGACAGCAUAAGUCAAAUUUUUGCUUGAGAUACACUACUCAACCAAGUCAAAAUGUUUGUAUUUGUAAAAUCAUAUAAAAGUUGUAGUUGUUCAUAUUUUAUCCUGAGAUAAAGUCAUUCAUUUCCUGUCAAAGAAUAUUUUUUUAAAUAAAAAAGAGGCUUGAAAAUAAAUGUUUUUGAAAAUGUACCUAUUUUAUUUUGUAUAACCCUUUGGAAAGUUAUUAACCAGAUUUCUAAUGCAACUGUAUGAGUUUUAGAGUAGAGAAAAAAAGGAAUAUGGCAUAGAAGCCAAUGUUGAGGAUAAAGAUAGCCCGAUUAAGCCCAACAGAAGAAUCUAAGAUGAAUGUCCCCCCAAUUGGUACCCGUAAGUACAGAAUAUGUCCAGUAAGUACUCAGUAAUGAACCAGAGGAUUUAUUUCAAACGGAGUCCAUUUUUAAAUAG